UUCUUCAUGAUUGAAUUUUAGUAGGUUAUAUGUGUAUAGGAGUUUAACCAUUUCUUCUAGAUUUUCCAAAUUUGCUUAUAGUAGCCACUAAUGAUCCUUUGAAUUUCUGUGUUUACAGUUGUUAUGUCUCCUUUUACGUCUCUGAUUUCAUUUAUUUGUGUCUUCUCUUUUUCUGAGUCUGACUAAAGAUUUGCAAAUUUUGUUUAUCUUUUCAAGAAAACAACUUUUUGUUUUAUUAAUCUUUUGCAUUGUUUUCUUCAAUUAAAUUCAUUUAUUUCUGCUCUGAUUUUUAUCAUUUCUUUUCUUCUAGUAAUAUUUGGUUUGAUUUGCUCUUGCUUUUCUAGUUCUUUAAGAUACAUUAUUUGGUUGAAGAUGUUCUUUUUUGAUGCAGGCACUUAUAGCUAUGAACUUCCCUCUUAGUACUGCUUUAGCUGUAUCCCAUAGCUUUUGGUAUGUUGUAUUUCCAUUAUCAUUUGCUUCAAGAAAUCUAUUAGGUCCAUUUGUUCUAUAGUGCAGAUUGAAUACAAUUUUUGUUGUUAUUGAUUUUCUGUCUGGGAGAUCUGUCCGAUGCUGAAAGUAGAGUGUUGAAGUCUCCUGCUAUUAUUGUACUGGGGCCUAUCUCUUUAGCUCUAAUUUGAUUUGGUUUUUAUAUCUGGAUGCUCAAGUGUUGGGUUCAAAUACAUUUACAUUCAUUAUAUCCUCUUACUGAAUUGACCCCUUUUUCAUCAUAUAAUGACCAUCUCUGUCUCUUCUUAUAGUUUUUUCUUUAAAUCUAUUUUGUCUAAUAUACACAUGGCUACUCCUGCUAUUCUUUGGUUUCCAUUGGCAUGGAAUAUAUUUUUCUAUCCCUUUACUUUCAGUCUAUUUGUAUCUUUAUAACUGAAGUGUGUUUCUUAUAGACAACAGAUCAUUGGGUCAUUUUUAAAAUUAAUUCAGCCACUCUGUCUUUUGAUUAGAGACUUAAAUCCACUUAAAUUUAAUGUUAUUAUUGAGAAUUAAGAACUUACUCCUGCCAUUGUGCUAUUUGUUUUUUCAUUGUUUUGCAGUCUUCUCUUCCUUGUUUUAUUCCUUCUUAUCUGCUUUUUGGUGAAAGUGAUUUUCUUUGGUGGUCUGCUUUAAUUUCAUGCUCUUUGUUUUUUGUGUAGCUGUUGUAGAUUUUUUGAUUUGAGGUUACCAUGGGGCUUUCAAAUAAUAUUUUAUAGCUGAUUAUUUUAAACUGAUGAAAACUUGACACUGAUUGCAUAAAAAACACACAAAAUAACUCUUUAAAAACUGUAUGCUUUUCUUUUUUUUUUUUUUUUUUUGAGAUAGAGUCUUGCUCUGUCACCCAGGCUGGAGUCCAGCAAUGCCAUCUCGGCUCACUGCAGCCUCCAUGAUUCUCCUACCUUAGCCUCUCAAGUAGCUGGGAUUACAGGCCUGGGCCACCAUGUCCAACUAAUUUUUGUAUUUUCAGUAGAGACAGGGUUUCGCCAUGUUGGCCAGGCUGGUCUCAAACUCCUGACCUCAAGUGAUGCACCUGCCUUGGCCUCCCAAAGUGUUGAGAUUACAGGUAUGAGCCACUGCACUUGGUCCACAACUGUAUACUUUGACUUUAUUCCCUUGCUAUUUAACUUUUAGUUCUCUUUAUGUCUUAUUGUACUGUCUAUGUUUUGAAAAGUUGUCGUAGUUGUUAUUUUUUAUUGAGUCAUCAUUUAGUCUUUCUACUUAAGAGAAGUUUACACACCGUGAGUACUGUGUUAUACUGUUCUGUAUUUUUCUAUGUGUUUACUAUUAUCAGCAAGUUGUAUACCUUCAGAUGAUUUCUUCUUGCUCAUUAAAGUCCUUUUCUUGGGCUGGGUGCAGUGGCUCACACCUAAAAUCCCAGUACUUUGGGAGGCCAAGGCAGGCAUAUUGCCUGAGCUCAGGAGUUUUUGAUCAGCCUGGGCAACAUGAUGAAAUCCCAUCUGUACUUGAGCCUGGGAGGUUGAGGCUGCUGUGAGUCAUGAUGGUGCCAUUGCACUCCCCAGCCUGGUAACAGAGCAAGACGUCAUCUGAAAAAAAAAAAAAAAAAAAAAAAAAAGGUCCUUUUAUUUCAGAAGGAAGAUCUCCCUUUAGCAUUUCUUAUAAGACAGAGUUGAUGAAAUCCCUCAGCUUUUGUUUGGCAAGGGUUUUAUUUCUUCAUGCUUAAAGGAUAUUUUCACCAGAUAUACUAUUCUAGGGUAAAAGUUUUCUUUUUUUCCUUCAGCACUUCGUGCCACUCCCUCCUGGCCUUCUUUCCACUGAAAAGACUGCUGCCAGACAUAUUGGAGCGCCGUUCUAUGUUGUUUCUUUUCUCUUGCUACUUUUAGUAUCCUUUCUUUAUCCUUGACCUUUCAGAGUUUGAUUAUUAAAUGUCUUAAGGUAGUCUUCCUUGGGUUAAAUCAGCUUGGUGUUCUACAACCUUCUUCUACUUGGAUAUUAAUAUACUUCUCUAGGUUUGAGAAGUUCUCUGAUAUUAUCCCUUUAAAUAAAUUUUCUUACCCCUAUGUGUUUCUCUAACUCUUCUUUAAGGCCAAUAACUCUUUGAUUUGCCAUUUUUAAGCUAUUUUCAAGAUCUUGUAGGCAGGCUUCAUCACUUUUUAUUAUUUUUUUCUUUUGUCCGUGACUAUGUAUUUUGAAAUAGCCUAUCUUCAAGCUCACUAAUUCCUUCUUCUGCUUAAUUUAAUUCAUUUGGUGAGGUCAUGUUUUCCUAGUUGGUGUUAAUGCUUGCAGAUGUUCUUCAGUGUCUGGGCAUUGAGGAGUUAGGUAUUUAUUAUAGUCUUCACAGUCUGGGCUUAUUUGUACCUAUCGUUCUUGGGAAGGCUUUCUAGGUAUUUGAAGGGACUUGAACCCCAAACUCAAUAAUGCUGUGCUUUUUCCAGACUCGUAGAGGUACCACCUUGGUUGUCUUGGAUAAAAUCUGGAAUAAUUAUCUGGGUUACCAGGAGAGACCCUUGUUCUUUUCGCUUACUUUCUCCAAAACAUAUGAAGCCUCUCUCUCUGUGCUGAACCACCUGGAACUGGAGGUGUGAUGAGUUAUAGAGAUGAAAAUGCAUAUGGAAUUAUCAUGCAAAUUACCAAUAAAGAGAAUCACUGGUCAGAAUCCCUAUAUUUUGGAGAAGAAAAAUUUUGAAAACCAGUCAGAAUUCAAUCAACUGCAGUUGGGAGAAAGACAGCGAGUAGCUUGAGAGAGAUGAGAAACUAUCAAAAAGAAGUUCCUGACAUGGCAACAGUGUAUCAUCCAAUGAAUCAAUCGCCUCACCCAACACUGUAACACUUCCUGGCCUAUUGACUCAGAGCAUGAGGAAACCAAAGUGACCAGGGGGAAGGCCUCAGGAAACUUACAAUCAUGGUGAAGGAGAAGCAGGCACAUCACAUGGCUGGAGCAACAAGCAAGAAGCAGGGGAAGUGCCGCACACUGUUAAACAAGCAGACCUCUCAAGAACUCAUUCACUAUCACAAAAACAGCACCAAGAGGAUGGUGCUAAAUGAUUCAUGAGAAAUCCCCCUCCGUGAUCCAGUCACCUCCCACCAGGCCUCACCUCCAUGAGAUUUGGUGCAAACACAGAUCGAAACCAUAUCAACAACUUUUAAUUUAGGUUCAUGGAGUACAUGUGUAGGUUUGUUACAUGGGUAAAUUGCCUGUCACAGGGGUUUGGUGUACAGAUAAUUUUGUCAUCCAGGCAGUCAACAUAAUACCCAGUAGAUAGUUUUUCAAUCCUCACCUUCCUCUUGCCCUACACCCUCAAGUAGGCCCCAGUGUGUAUUAUUCCCUUCUUUGUGUCUGUUGUACUCAAUGUUUAAUUUCACUUGUAAGUGAGAGCAUGUAGUGCUUGAUUUUCUGUUCCUGUAUUAGUUAGCUAAGGAUAAUGUCCUCCAGCUGCAUCCAUGUUGCUGCAAAGAAUAUGAUCUUGUUCUUUUUUAUGGUUGUAUAGUAGUCUAUGGACGUGUGGCUGAACUAAUUUAUCUUUUCACCAACAGUGUAUAAGUGUUCCGUUUUCUCCACAACCUUGCCACCACCUUUUCUUUUUUUUUUUUUUUUUUUUGACUUUUUAAUAGUACCCAUUCUGACUAGAGUGAGAUGAUAUCUCAUUGUGGUUUUGACUUGCAUUUCCCUAAUGAUUAGUGAUAUUGAGCAAUUUUUCAUAUACUUGUUGGCUGUGUGUAUGUAUUCUUUUGAGAAGUGUCUGUUUAUAUCCUUUGCCCAUUUUUAAAUGGGGUUGUUUGAUUUGUUUAAGUUCCUCAUAGAUUCUGGAUAUUAGGCCUUUGUUAGAUGCGUCGUUUGCAAAUAUUUUCUCCUAUUCUGUAGAUUAUCUGGUUACACCGUUGAUUAUUUCUUUCCCUAUGCAGAAACUCUUUCAAUUAGGUCCAAAUUGUCAAAUUUGUUUUUUUGCAAUUGCUUUUGGAGUCUUCCUCAGGAAGUCUUUGCCAGGGCCAAUGUCCAGAAUGGUGUAUCCUAGGUUUUCUUCUAGAAUUUUUUUAGUUUUAGGUUGUACAUUUAAGUCUUCAAUUCAUUUUUAGUUGAUUUUUGUAUAUGGUGAAAGGUACAGAUCCAGUUCUAUUCUUCUGCAUAUGGCUGGCCAGUUAGCCUAGCACCAUUUAUUGAAUAGGGAGUCACUUCCGCAUUGCUUUUCUUUGUUGGUUUUGUCAAAAAUCAGAUGGUUGUGGGGGUACAACUUUAUUUCUGGGUUAACUAAUGCAUUCCAUUGGUCUAUAUCUCUGUUUUUGUAUCAAUAUCAUGUUGUUUUAGUUACUGUAGCCAUGUAGCAUAGUUUGAAGUUGAGUAAUGUGAUAUCUCCAGCUUUGUUCUUUUGGCAUAGGGUUGUCUUGGCUAUUUGAGCUCUUUUUUUGGUUUUAAAUAAAUGUUAGAAUAAUUUUUUCCUAAUUCUAUGAAAAAUGUCAUUGGUAAUUUGAUAGGAAUAGCAUUCAAUCUAUGACAUGCUUUGGAAGUAUGGCCAUUUUAACAAUAUUGAUUCUUCCUAUCCGUGAUCAUGGAAUGUGUUUCCAUUUGUUUGUGUUUUUCCAAUUUCUUUCAGCAGUAUUUUGUAAUUCUCAUUACAGAGAUCUUUCACCUCCCUGGUUAGUUUUAUUCCUAGGUAUUUUAUUCUUUUUGUGGCUAUUAUGAAUGAGAUUGCAUUCUUGAUUUGGCUCUCAGCUUGAACAUUGUUGAUGUUUAGAAAUGCUACUGAUUUUUAUACAUUGAUUUUGUAUCCUGAAACUUUGCUGAAGUCGUUUAUCAGAUCUAGAAGUUUUUAGGCAGAGACUAUGGGGCUUUUUAGAUAUGGAAUCAUGUUAUAUGUAAACAGAGAUAGUUUGAUUUAUUUCUUCCAAUUUGGAUACAUUUUAUGUCUUUCUCUUGCCCAAUUACUCGGGCUAGGAUUUCCAGUACUAAGUUGAAUAGGAGUGGUGAGAGUGAGCCUCCUUGUCUUGUUCCGUUUCCCAAGGGGAAUUGAUAUGGUUUGGCUCUGUGUUCUCACCUAAGUCCCAUCAUGAAUUGUAAUCCCCAUAAUCUCUAUGUGUCAAGGGCAGGACCAGGUGGAGGUAAUUGGAUCAUGGGGGCAGUUUCCCCCAUGCUGUUCUCAUGAUAGUGAAUGAGUUCUCAUAAGGUCUGAUGGUUUUAUAAGCAUCUGGCAUUUCCCCUGCUUGCCCUCACUCCAUCCUGCUGCCCUAUAAAGAAAGUGCCUGCUUCUCCUUUGUCUUCUGCUAUGAUUGUAAGUUCCCUGAGGCCUCCCAAGCCAUGUAGAAUUGUGAGUCAAUUAAACCUCUUUCCUUUAUAAAUUACCCAGUCUUGGAUAUUUCUUCAUAGCAGUGUGAGAAAGGACUAACACAGGAAUGCUUUCAGCUUUUGCCAAUUCAGUAUGAUGUUGGCUGUGGGUUUAUCAUAGAUGGCUCUUAUUAUUUUGAGGUAUGAACUUUUGAUGCCUAGUUUGUUGAGUAUUUUAAACAUGGGAUAUUGAAUUUUGUUGAAAGUCUUUCCUGUUUCUAUUGAGAUGAUCAUGUGGUUUUUGUUUUUAAUUCUGUUUAUAAGGUAAAUCACAUUUGUUGAUUUGCAUAUGUUGAACCAAUCUUGCAUCCCAGGAAUAAAGCCUGCUUGAUCAUGAUGCAUGAGCUUUUUGAUGUGCUGCAGGAUUCAGUUUGCUAGUCAAGAAUUUUUGCAUCUGUGUUUUUCAGGGAUAUUGGCCUGAAAUUAUGUUGUUGUUGUUGUGCUCUGCCAGGUUUUGAUAUUAGAAUGAUGCCAGCUUCAUAGAAUGUGUUAGGAAAAAGUCCCUCCUCAAUUUUUUAGAAUAAUUUUAGUAGGAUUGGUACCACCUCUUCUUUAUAUGUCUGGUAGAAUUUGUCUAUUUGUCUGUGAAUCUGUCUGGUCCAGGGCUUUUUCUAUUUGGUAGGUUUUUUGUUUGUUUGUUUGUUCCUAAUUCCAUUUUGGAGCUCAUUAUUUGUCUGUUCAGGGUCUCAAUUUCUUCCUGGUUGAAUCUUGAGAGGUUAUGUGUUUCCAAGAAUUUAUCCAUUUCUUCUAGGUUUUCCAGUUUGUAUGCUUAGACAUGUUCAUAAUGGUCUCUGAGGUUUUGGUGUCUCUGUGGGGUCAGUGGUAAUGUUACCUUUGUAAUUUCCUAUUGUGUUUAUUUUUAUCUUUUCUCUUUUUUCCUUUAUUCAUUUAGCUAGUGGUCUAUCAAUCUGAUUUAUCUUUUCGAAUAAGCAACUUUUGGUUUUGUUGAUCUUUUGUAUGGUUUUGUUUAUCUUUUGUAUGGUUU
rnacentral:lncRNA from 1 species